rnacentral:snoRNA from 1 species
GUGCAAAUGAUGUGAACUUUAAUUCCACUGACUGAGGUGAUGUUUCCAAAGGAACCACUGAUGCAC